AACGAACGCUGGCGGCAGGCUUAACACAUGCAAGUCGAACGGGUGUAGCAAUACAUCAGUGGCAGACGGGUGAGUAACACGUGGGAACCUUCCUAGGGGUACGGAACAACUCAGGGAAACUUGAGCUAAUACCGUAUACGUCCGUGAGGAGAAAGAUUUAUCGCCCUUAGACGGGCCCGCGUCGGAUUAGGGAGUUGGUGGGGUAACGGCCUACCAAGCCUAAGAUCCGUAGCUGAGCUUAGAGGAUGAUCAGCAACACUGGGACUGAGACACGGCCCAGACUCCUACGGGAGGCAGCAGUGGGGAAUCUUGGACAAUGGGCGCAAGCCUGAUCCAGCCAUGCCGCGUGAGUGAAGAAGGCCUUAGGGUUGUAAAGCUCUUUUACCAGGGACGAUAAUGACGGUACCUGGAGAAUAAGCCCCGGCAAACUUCGUGCCAGCCGCCGCGGUAAUAC
rnacentral:rRNA from 1 species